rnacentral:rRNA from 1 species
UACAGAGGGGGCAAGCGUUGUUCGGAAUCACUGGGCUUAAAGGGCGCGUAGGCGGGCAUUCAAGUCUGUGGUGAAAUCCUCCGGCUCAACCGGAGAACUGCCUCGGAUACUGGGUGUCUCGAGGGUGAUAGGGGUAUGCGGAACUAUCGGUGGAGCGGUGAAAUGCGUUGAUAUCGAUAGGAACUCCGGUGGCGAAGGCGGCAUACUGGAUCACUUCUGACGCUGAGGCGCGAAAGCCAGGGGAGCAAACGGG